UCCAUUGCGAAAUGGAAUCUGAAGGAAGCUGGAGGCAAAUCUCCGACCCGAGGAACACGAAUCUCAUACAAGGCCGAGGCUGUAAAACAAGCCGAAUUCCUUACGAUCAAAGGGAAGGGCUGUAAAUGAGGCGGGUACAUGGAGAGGAAGUUUGUGCG
rnacentral:ncRNA from 1 species